CUGACUUUCGGAUCUGUCUGGACUUUCGGCCGCCGAAGGUGCCGCCGAAAGUGCCCUGUCCAGACUUUUCUUGCAUGUUUUUAUGUGAUGUUUUCAGGAUGUUUUAGGGGGUUUUUGGGGAGUAUAGUAGAGUUAUGUUUAUGUAUGUUUGGUCCCUCACUGGAGUCCACCUGUGUAGGAUCGGACCCGAGGAACCAAGGUGUUUAGCAGUGUCAACCAUUUUAGAAUCGGUGCAGAGCUAGUCUCAGGUGAGUGGAACUAAACCUAAUGUUUUAAGCUAAGAAAUUAAAUGUUUGUAGAGCAUGAUCCAUGCAUCAUAAAUGCCAUGAUAUAUGUAUUAGGUUGUUUUGCAUUAGAACUCACGAAUAUGAUGCAUUGCAUAAUAUGUUGUUGAUGUGGAUGGAUGUUGGAUGAUCCUUAGCCCUCAGUAUGAGAUGAGAUAAUAUGAUAUGAUAUGCCAUGGUAUGAUAUGAGACAGAAAGACCAAGUCGCCCUUGGUACUAUGUUAUGUAAGCGGACACUAGGUGAGGCCUAAUCGCCCCUGGUGUAGUUGGACUUGUUA
rnacentral:lncRNA from 1 species